AUCGAACGCUGGCGGCAUGCCUUACACAUGCAAGUCGAACGGUAACAGGUCUUCGUAUUCUGACGAGUGUCGAACGGGUGAGUAAUACAUCGGAACGUGCCCGAUCGUGGGGGAUAACGAGGCUAAAGCUUUGCUAAUACCGCAUACGAUCUACGGACGAACGCGGGGGAUUUUCGGACCUCGCGCGGACGGAGCGGCCGAUGGUAGAGUAGGUAGUUGGUGGGAUAAAAGCUUACCAAGCCGACGAUCUGUAGCUGGUCUGAGAGGAUGAUCAGCCACACUGGGACUGAGACACGGCCCAGACUCCUACGGGAGGCAGCAGUGGGGAAUUUUGGACAAUGGGCGAAAGCCUGAUCCAGCCAUGCCGCGUGCAGGAUGAAGGCCUUCGGGUUGUAAACUGCUUUUGUACGGAACGAAAAGCCUCUUUCUAAUAAAGAGGGGUCAUGACGGUACCGUAAGAAUAAGCACCGGCUAACUACGUG
rnacentral:rRNA from 1 species